UAGGAGACGAGGCUUUGGAUCAACUUCUCUCCAGUUUCUCGACUUGAUCCUCUUGGUCACAAAGCAGCUGAUACAGUGCCAUACAUCGCAACCUCACAGAACAACAUCUGGCAACCUUUUGAUCCUAAUCAAUCCAUGCUUUGGUCAGAAGUCAUUUUAGAGGAAGAAGUGAGUAUACAGAAAUCCAGUGGUCACAUGAUAUGCAUGCCAAAGGUUAAGAAAUGAAAACUACUGGACUUAUUUUGAAAUGCAUCAAAAUAUUGAAAUUUUCAUCAUAAGACGUUAAGAAAUAUGUCGGUAAUACCCUGCCUCAUUUUUAUAAGUCUCACAAGGGAUUCAUUCUUCCUAAGUAGCAACGUGUAGACUUUUUUUGCGUUAAUGCCAGGUUCUCCCCUCCAAACCACUUAGCCC
rnacentral:lncRNA from 1 species